GAUGAACGCUGACAGAAUGCUUAACACAUGCAAGUCAACUUGAAUUUGGGUUUUUAACUUAGGUUUGGGUGGCGGACGGGUGAGUAACGCGUAAAGAACUUGCCUCACAGCUAGGGACAACAUUUGGAAACGAAUGCUAAUACCUAAUAUUAUGAUAAUAGGGCAUCCUAUAAUUAUGAAAGCUAUAAGCGCUGUGAGAGAGCUUUGCGUCCCAUUAGCUAGUUGGAGAGGUAACGGCUCACCAAGGCGAUGAUGGGUAGCCGGCCUGAGAGGGUGAUCGGCCACAAGGGGACUGAGACACGGCCCUUACUCAUACGGGAGGCAGCAGUGGGGAAUAUUGGACAAUGGACCGAGAGUCUGAUCCAGCAAUUCUGUGUGCACGAUGAAGUUUUUCGGAAUGUAAAGUGCUUUCAGUUGGGAAGAAACAAAUGACGGUACCAACAGAAGAAGUGACGGCUAAAUACGUG
rnacentral:rRNA from 1 species